rnacentral:misc_RNA from 1 species
UUAAGUUCAGCGGGUAGUCCUACCUGAUUUGAGGUCAAGUUUCGAAACACACGCCGUCAGGCAUGGGAGAGAUUAGAAGCACAGGACCUAUUCAUGCAUGUCCGACGCUCCAGCCACGACGAUCAUUAUCACGUCGAAGGCCGUGCACGUCAAAGACUUGCUGCCCUUUGCUAAUGCAUUUCAGGAGAGCCGACAGCUCG